rnacentral:tRNA from 1 species
AUUUAUAUAGUUUAAACAAAACAUUACACUUUCACUGUAAAAAUAAAGAGAACUUUUAUAAAUA